CAUGAUGCUUCCUACUCAGGAUGGAUAGAGUAGGGCAGAGGCAUGUUUUACCGCAGCAUCCAGAACAGUAUGGGAUUUAAAACUGAUGAAUUGCUUACUUCUGAAGCUUUUCAUUUGAUAUCUUUAGACCAUGGUUGUCUGAGGGCAACUGAAAAAUCAGAGCGCAAACCCACCAGCUAAUAAGGAAAGUGGGAAUGGAUUUGUUUCUUACAGAAGAUUGGGGGAAAGUUGGAAACACAUCAACAGAAGAUGCCCUGUGGAACUGUGUUGGAAGAUAUGUGUUUAUCUAAAAGAGAAGAGAGUUUUAGCCACCAAGGAAGCAAACGACAGCCCCAAAUGUAACGUAAUAUAAAGUUGUCACGGUGAAGGCAGAGCCAUGCGUCCAGAAAAGCAGAAAGUGAGACCUGGAGCAUUUCGGUGUUGGUGGUGGUGUUUUAGUAAAACCCUCCUAAACAUUGCACGACAUUUUGAAACUUCAGAGGGUGUG
rnacentral:lncRNA from 1 species